rnacentral:rRNA from 1 species
GUGAGGAAUAUUGGUCAAUGGCCGGGAGGCUGAACCAGCCAAGUCGCGUGGAGGAUGAAGGUCCUAUGGAUUGUAAACUUCUUUUGUGCGGGAAUAAAGUCGGGGACGCGUCCCCGUUUGCAUGUACCGCACGAAUAAGCAUCGGCUAACUCCGUGCCAGCAGCCGCGGUAAUACGGAGGAUGCGAGCGUUAUCCGGAUUUAUUGGGUUUAAAGGGUGCGUAGGUCGCCGAUUAAGUCAGCGGUGAAAUCCAGUGGCUCAACCAUCGGACUGCCGUUGAAACUGGCCGGCUUGAGUAUGAUUGAGGCAGGCGGAAUGCGUGGUGUAGCGGUGAAAUGCAUAGAUAUCACGCAGAACCCCGAUUGCGAAGGCAGCUUGCCAAGCCAUGACUGACACUGAAGCACGAAAGCGUGGGUAUCAAACAGGAUUAGAAACCCCAGUAGUCC